rnacentral:lncRNA from 1 species
CCACGGGUCCUCCAGACUAUAAAUACCCCUUUUCUCCAACGAGGACGUAGAUUCAUUCGGCGUAGUCGACGUGAAGCAGCACAGAAGUAGAAGGAGCUUGAGGGACACCACUUCGAAGAGCCGAGGACUGCGUAGUUGUCUAGGGAUUGACGUAGCUAAGCCCUAGUUGACAUGGAAACCCUACAAGGAAUAUUCACGUUGGAGUUCUGGAGCUAGGAUCAUCAGAUCAAGGUAGGAUCCCGGUGGAAAUUUGGUGUUGUAGAAUUAUUCAUGGUGAAGUAAUAGAUGUGUUCUUGUUCUUAGUGAUCUAAGUAUCUCCUUCUAUGGUUUUAUGCUGUUUCAGAUUUGCUUGCUUUUCAAUCUAUGAUCGAUGAUAGAUUUCUUAGGAUGUUUAUGUGGUUGUGGUGACCGGAUUUGCAUGCCGGAUCUACCAAUGAGUAUGACAUGUUCUUAUGAUCGUGCCCUUAGAUUACCUAUGCUAAUAGAGGGGGUCGUGAUGGGUUCUUCCUUGUGUAAGAUGGGGUUUUUUUUGGGAGCCAGACCAGAGGUGUAGAUUUAAAGAUGCUUUUGCUAAGAUCAUAUCUAUGUUGUUUUGCUAUCCAUGCUCAGAAUUACAAUAUAUGCAUAGUCUAGGUUGCUCUAAAUUGUUUACCUUCGCUCUAUCUAUUAUCUAUUUGUGUAUGGUAGAAUAGAUCUGAAUCACUCAUCAACAAAAGGUUCAUACUGACAUGUUAAUUGAAAUAGAUCUUGUAUUAUAAGCUCCACGUAUUGAUAAACCUUGGGGGAGUACUCUGAGGAAAGAGCUACAAUUGAUACGCGCUUGCGAUUCACAAAUUGGCGCAAUAAUUGCCAUCAACAGUUACCGGAUGAAUGGGUGACCUCAAGAGCCAUCUUCUUCCUUCGCCACACAUCACCGACUGAUAUAGUGAGCACCUUCUAAUGUGCUGCACACUUAACUUCCAGAGACAAAGGACUUCAUUGCCAUGGAUACCGACUUAUCCGUCCCACUGACUCAUUUUAUCACAAGAGUCACUGUACAGUAAACACUACUUGGCCUUGCUACUAUUCUUCACGCACGGUCCGAUCCGGGGCAAUGAGUUAGUGAUUAACUGAUAGAAUCGGUGAAUUACGUCGGUGAUCCUUUUUACUAGGAUUCAUUUCAUGUCUUAGCGUGUCUUCAUCUGGUCUUCUUUGCAGUCUUUUGGAUUCCUAAAAAAAUACUAUCUCAAAUUUUUACUAUAUGAUUUGUAUGCUAUAGAAACUUUCUCUCGUUCUUUUUACU